UACGGGGGGGGCAAGCGUUGUUCGGAAUUACUGGGCGUAAAGGGCUCGUAGGCGGCCAACUAAGUCAGACGUGAAAUCCCUCGGCUUAACCGGGGAACUGCGUCUGAUACUGGAUGGCUCGAGUUUGGGAGAGGGAUGCGGAAUUCCAGGUGUAGCGGUGAAAUGCGUAGAUAUCUGGAGGAACACCGGUGGCGAAGGCGGCAUCCUGGACCGGCAUUGACGCUGAGGCGCGAAAGCGUGGGGAGCGAACAGG
rnacentral:rRNA from 1 species